rnacentral:piRNA from 1 species
ACCACACCCUCAGGAGUCUCUAGCAGG